AUGCAAACACUAGGCAGCAAAAUGCAACCUGUGUUGUACCUCUGCCUACUGCUCAUGCCCUGCCUAUUUCUCGUGGAAGAAGCACAUGCGGUGUGGCAUGGAGGGAUCUCACUGAGGUCUCAACGCAUGGCCCUCCUCCACUGGAAAGCUACACUUGCGAGCCCACCGGUGCAGAUGAGCUCUUGGCAGGAAAACACCACCCCCUGCAACUGGACGGGCAUUGUGUGCACAGCUGUUCGCCAUGGCAGCCGCAUGCCCAGGGUAGUUACCGACAUCUCCCUGCCGGAUGCUGGCAUCAGGGGCCAGCUUGGUGAGCUCAACUUCUCAGCUCUUCCAUUCCUCACAUAUAUUGACCUCAGCAAUAACAGUCUCCAUGGUGCACUACCCGCUAGUAUCAGCUGCCUGUCAUCACUUUUGGAACUCUACCUUCCCUACAACCAGCUCACAUGGAAAAUUCCCUAUGAGAUUGGUGGCCUGCAAAGUCUGAGGGUGCUUGAGCUCUCAUUUAACAGACUCACAGGACAUAUUCCUGCGUCUUUGGGCAACCUAACAAUGUUAAAUGAUCUUAUCAUUGACCAAAACAUGGUAUCAGGUCCUAUUCCUGAGGAGAUUGGAAGGCUUGUCAACCUACAACUUCUACAGCUAAGCAACAGCACCUUAAGCGGUUUGAUACCAAAAACCCUUGGAAACCUGACCCAGCUAAAUAUUUUGUACUUGUUUCGUAAUCAACUUUCAGGGCCUAUACCCCAAGAACUAGGUAGGCUAGCCCAUUUACAAAUUCUUCAGCUUAAUUCAAAUGAUUUUUCAGGUCCAAUUCCAAUUUCCAUAACCAAUCUCACUAAGAUGAACCAACUUUUUCUCUUUGAAAAUCAAAUCACAGGUCCAAUACACCCAGAAAUAGGUAACCUCACUAUGCUAAACCAACUUGACCUCUACAGGAAUCAAAUAACAGGUUCAAUACCCCCAGAACUAGGCAAGCUCACUAUGCUCAAUGAACUUUCUCUCUAUACAAAUCAAAUUUCAGGCCCAAUACCUUUAGAAUUGGGCAACUUACUGAAUCUCCAACUUCUAGACUUGUCGAACAACCAAAUAUCUGGAUCUAUUCCUGGUAGCUUAGGAAAUAUAACCAAACUAGUACUACUACACCUCUUUGAAAAUCAGAUAACAGGUUCCAUCCCCCAGGAGAUUGGCAAUCUUAUGAACCUCGAAGAUUUAAACUUUUAUCACAACCAAAUUUCGGGGUCAAUACCAAAAACUUUUGGGAAGUUGCAAAGCAUACAAAAAAUGAAAAUGUAUGAUAACAAAUUAUCAGGUUCUCUUCCUCAAGAGUUCGGAGAUCUCAUCAGCCUUGUUGUACUUGAGCUGGCUCUCAACUCACUUUCAGGACCUUUACCCGCAAAUAUAUGCUUAGGUGGCAGACUUCAAUACCUCAUUGUCUUUUCUAAUAUGUUCAUUGGCCCCAUUCCAAGUAGUUUAAAGACUUGUACGAGUUUGGUUCGACUUCUGCUUCAGGCGAACCAGCUAACAGGAGAUAUAUCUCAGCAUUUUGGUGUGUAUCCACAACUCAUAAAGAUGAAUUUGGCAUCAAACAGAUUCUCUGGACAUAUCUCACCAAAUAUAGGUGCAUGUACCCAACUAACAGUACUACAUCUAGCACAAAAUAUGAUCACGGGUUCCAUACCCCCGGUACUUUCUAAAUUGUCCAACCUAGUAGAACUAAGACUCAGAUUCCAAUCAUCUCAUUGGUGA
rnacentral:rRNA from 1 species